rnacentral:rRNA from 1 species
UAAUACGGAGGGGGCAAGCGUUGUUCGGAAUUAUUGGGCGUAAAGGGCGCGUAGGCGGCGAGGUAAGUCAGACGUGAAAUCCCCCGGCUUAACCGGGGAAUUGCGUCUGAUACUCCCUUGCUUGAGGCCAGGAGAGGAGAGUGGAAUUCCCAGUGUAGCGGUGAAAUGCGUAGAUAUUGGGAGGAACACCGGUGGCGAAGGCGGCUCUCUGGACUGGUUCUGACGCUGAGGCGCGAAAGCUAGGGGAGCAAACAGGAUUAGAUACCCUGGUAGUCCUAGCUGUAAACGAUGGGUGCUUGGUGUAGGGGGUAUCGACCCCUCCUGUGCCGAAGCUAACGCGAUAAGCACCCCGCCUGGGGAGUACGGUCGCAAGGCUG